UACAGAGGUCCCGAGCGUUGUUCGGAUUUACUGGGCGUAAAGGGUGCGUAGGCGGUGGGGUAGGUUUGAGGUGAAAGCUCCGGGCUCAACCCGGAAAAUGCCUUGAAAACUAUCCGGCUAGAGGGUUGGAGGGGAGACUGGAAUUCUCGGUGUAGCAGUGAAAUGCGUAGAUCUCGAGAGGAACACCAGUGGCGAAGGCGGGUCUCUGGACAACACCUGACGCUGAGGCACGAAAGCCAGGGGAGCAAACGGG
rnacentral:rRNA from 1 species